UACAGGGGGGGGCAAGCGUUGUUCGGAAUUACUGGGCGUAAAGGGCUCGUAGGCGGCCAACUAAGUCACACGUGAAAUCCCCAGGCUUAACCUGGGAACUGCGUGUGAUACUGGAUGGCUUGAAUUCGGGAGAGGGAUGCAGAAUUCCAGGUGUAGCGGUGAAAUGCGUAGAUAUCAGGAGGAACACCGGUGGCGAAGGCGGUGGUCUGGGCCGGCACUGACGCUGAGGAGCGAAAGCGUGGGUAGCAAACAGG
rnacentral:rRNA from 1 species